CAGAGGCGAUGAAGGACGUGCUAAUCUGCGAAAAGCGUCGGUAAGGUGAUAUGAACCGUUAUAACCGGCGAUGUCCGAAUGGGGAAACCCAGUGCAAUUCGUUGCACUAUCGUUAACUGAAUACAUAGGUUAACGAGGCGAACCGGGGGAACUGAAACAUCUAAGUACCCCGAGGAAAAGAAAUCAACCGAGAUUCCCCCAGUAGCGGCGAGCGAACGGGGAGCAGCCCAGAGUCUGAAUCAGCUUGUGUGUUAGUGGAACGGUCUGGAAAGUCCGACGGUACAGGGUGAUAGUCCCGUACACCAAAAUGCACAGGCUGUGAACUCGAAGAGUAGGGCGGGACACGUGGUAUCCUGUCUGAAUAUGGGGGGACCAUCCUCCAAGGCUAAAUACUCCUGACUGACCGAUAGUGAACCAGUACCGUGAGGGAAAGGCGAAAAGAACCCCGGCGAGGGGAGUGAAAAAGAACCUGAAACCGUGUACGUACAAGCAGUGGGAGCACCUUCGGGUGUGACUGCGUACCUUUUGUAUAAUGGGUCAGCGACUUAUAUUCUGUAGCAAGGUUAACCGUAUAGGGGAGCCGCAGGGAAACCGAGUCUUAACUGGGCGUUAAGUUGCAGGGUAUAGACCCGAAACCCGGUGAUCUAGCCAUGGGCAGGUUGAAGGUUGGGUAACACUAACUGGAGGACCGAACCGACUAAUGUUGAAAAAUUAGCGGAUGACUUGUGGCUGGGGGUGAAAGGCCAAUCAAACCGGGAGAUAGCUGGUUCUCCCCGAAAGCUAUUUAGGUAGCGCCUCGUGAACUCAUCUUCGGGGGUAGAGCACUGUUUCGGCUAGGGGGUCAUCCCGACUUACCAACCCGAUGCAAACUACGAAUACCGAAGAAUGUUAUCACGGGAGACACACGGCGGGUGCUAACGUCCGUCGUGAAGAGGGAAACAACCCAGACCGCCAGCUAAGGUCCCAAAGUCAUGGUUAAGUGGGAAACGAUGUGGGAAGGCACAGACAGCCAGGAUGUUGGCUUAGAAGCAGCCAUCAUUUAAAGAAAGCGUAAUAGCUCACUGGUCGAGUCGGCCUGCGCGGAAGAUGUAACGGGGCUAAACCAUGCACCGAAGCUGCGGCAGCGACACUAUGUGUUGUUGGGUAGGGGAGCGUUCUGUAAGCCUGCGAAGGUGACCUGUGAGGGUUGCUGGAGGUAUCAGAAGUGCGAAUGCUGACAUAAGUAACGAUAAAGCGGGUGAAAAGCCCGCUCGCCGGAAGACCAAGGGUUCCUGUCCAACGUUAAUCGGGGCAGGGUGAGUCGACCCCUAAGGCGAGGCCGAAAGGCGUAGUCGAUGGGAAACAGGUUAAUAUUCCUGUACUUGGUGUUACUGCGAAGGGGGGACGGAGAAGGCUAUGUUAGCCGGGCGACGGUUGUCCCGGUUUAAGCAUGUAGGCUGGUUAUCCAGGCAAAUCCGGAUAAUCAAGGCUGAGGUGUGAUGACGAGGCACUACGGUGCUGAAGUAACAAAUGCCCUGCUUCCAGGAAAAGCCUCUAAGCAUCAGGUAACAUCAAAUCGUACCCCAAACCGACACAGGUGGUCAGGUAGAGAAUACCAAGGCGCUUGAGAGAACUCGGGUGAAGGAACUAGGCAAAAUGGUGCCGUAACUUCGGGAGAAGGCACGCUGGUGUGUAGGUGAAGCCCCUGCGGGUGGAGCUGAGACCAGUCGAAGAUACCAGCUGGCUGCAACUGUUUAUUAAAAACACAGCACUGUGCAAACACGAAAGUGGACGUAUACGGUGUGACGCCUGCCCGGUGCCGGAAGGUUAAUUGAUGGGGUUAUCCGUAAGGAGAAGCUCUUGAUCGAAGCCCCGGUAAACGGCGGCCGUAACUAUAACGGUCCUAAGGUAGCGAAAUUCCUUGUCGGGUAAGUUCCGACCUGCACGAAUGGCGUAAUGAUGGCCAGGCUGUCUCCACCCGAGACUCAGUGAAAUUGAACUCGCUGUGAAGAUGCAGUGUACCCGCGGCAAGACGGAAAGACCCCGUGAACCUUUACUAUAGCUUGACACUGAACAUUGAGCCUUGAUGUGUAGGAUAGGUGGGAGGCUUUGAAGCGUGGACGCCAGUCUGCGUGGAGCCAACCUUGAAAUACCACCCUUUAAUGUUUGAUGUUCUAACGUUGGCCCCUGACCGGGGUUGCGGACAGUGUCUGGUGGGUAGUUUGACUGGGGCGGUCUCCUCCCAAAGCGUAACGGAGGAGCACGAAGGUUAGCUAAUCCUGGUCGGACAUCAGGAGGUUAGUGCAAUGGCAUAAGCUAGCUUGACUGCGAGCGUGACGGCGCGAGCAGGUGCGAAAGCAGGUCAUAGUGAUCCGGUGGUUCUGAAUGGAAGGGCCAUCGCUCAACGGAUAAAAGGUACUCCGGGGAUAACAGGCUGAUACCGCCCAAGAGUUCAUAUCGACGGCGGUGUUUGGCACCUCGAUGUCGGCUCAUCACAUCCUGGGGCUGAAGUAGGUCCCAAGGGUAUGGCUGUUCGCCAUUUAAAGUGGUACGCGAGCUGGGUUUAGAACGUCGUGAGACAGUUCGGUCCCUAUCUGCCGUGGGCGCUGGAGAAUUGAGGGGGGCUGCUCCUAGUACGAGAGGACCGGAGUGGACGCAUCACUGGUGUUCGGGUUGUCAUGCCAAUGGCACUGCCCGGUAGCUAAAUGCGGAAGAGAUAAGUGCUGAAAGCAUCUAAGCACGAAACUUGCCCCGAGAUGAGUUCUCCCUGAGACUUUAAGUCUCCUGAAGGAACGUU
rnacentral:rRNA from 1 species